AGGGAUGUAAGCUCAGCGGCAGAGCAUCUGCCUGCAUCCAAAAGGUCCCAGGUUCAAUCCCUGGCAUCUCCA